GUGAGCGACAUAGUCCAGCCCUGAGAAUGCUUUCUUGGAGUGAACCCGUGUGUUAAUGGGAUAAGUAUGCAUAGGAUUACAUAUGUCGUGUAUUUAGCGACGAAGGCUGGAAUCCUGGAUACACUUCCUAGGUCCUCUUUAAUUCAGAGGAGCAUACUUCUGACUGAGUAGACCUGCGUGGGAGAGGUUUUUGUUUUGUUUUGUUUAUACCCCGACCACCAUUCCCCGUUCAAGAGCAUUUAGGUUUCAGCGAACCCAACAAGAUUUGCUUCCAAGUAAAAGGGUGUGUAAUGAGAGCGUGGAAGACGGAAUGAAAGAUGGACGCUGAAGUACGUUCAGCGGACAUAAUAGAAUUAUAGAGUUGAAAGGGAUCCCUGCGGUCAUCCAGUCGAACCCAGGAUUCCUGCCACUGCAGUUCACUUAAACCAAUGGAUUGAGGAGGAGGGGCGAGAUCCACUUCCCACUUGACUUGAUGGGAAUACUUUUAGUUAUGGUUGGUGGAUAACGCCAUAAGUUACAUCCCAUCUUCCUUGGAAAUCUAUCCUAUUCAUUUCAAGACAUUUUCAAGGCUUAGAACAGAGAGUCUGGUCCGCUGGCAGCUUCAAUGUAUUCUAACGAAAGCUUAGGGUUGUGUGUCAUUUGUCUACCUCGUUCUCAGCAGGAUAUUGGAACUAUGUUCCAUCGACAUCGAAGCACGUGUGUAAGACUUCGCUGAAUAUGACUAAAUAAACUUGAAACAGUGGCAGAACUAGCAAUCGGAUCCAGCUCGCUAGUUGUCUCGCCAGCCCUGACAAAAGAAGUGUUUGUGCACCCAAGGCUUCCCACUGUGAUCUUUGCGAUUGAGGAGCAGGCGCCCUGCGCGUGCCAGAGAUAAAAAGGACCUGAGUUGAUAUGGAGGCCCUGGGAGAAGAAGUUUCUUGGAACUCCUACCGGCGUUUCAGCGCUCUCUCAGUCACAAUCACACGUUACCCACGAACACGUAUUUCACCGUGCUUAGUUCUUGACAGAUGACCCGGGUUCCAUCUGGUCUUCAGGUUCACUCCUAAACAGAGAAGCGGGGAAUACUCGCGAAAUGGGGGGCGGGGGGAGCUUCCAAGCGCUUCUUUAAGAGCACAACCGCACAUCUGCCUGGCUUCAUCAUUACGCCUUUAAGGCGAAGUAAGAUGGGGAAAAAAAACGCAACAAGGAAUGCGAAAUUCGCUGAAUGCCUUUCUUGUUCUUGUAACAGACUUUAGACUGCAAGUUAUUCAAACGACGCUUAUGCUUUUUCAGUUCAGCGAAAAGGAUACCCGUAUUUAUUUAUUUAUUUAUUUAUUUUAAAGUAUUAAGUGGUCCUAAACUGAUGGUUCCGCAUUGCUGGAGAAACUGUCAUGCCCUGGCCAAUCAAGUUCCCCGUUCCCCGCUCUGCUGGCUAUUGAAACCAAGAGUGCUACAAAAUAGUAAAGAGCAGAGAUUAGCUAUGGUCGCACGUUGCUUGCUGCCAGCGCCAGGGUUUGUUCUCCGCCACCCGCAGUUCCGCAACCCGCCCCCACUGAAUGUGGUGUUGGGCUCCCAUCGAACUUCUCCAAGCUCCGCGUCCCGCCUGCGUGAGCUGCUGGGAGAAACCUGCGAGGCAAUUACGCGCAGGCAAAACAUCUCCCCUUAAUCGCACGGGCUUCAGUCAGAGACCGGUUCGGGUUUCCAAAGGGGCGGGGGCGGCAGUAGAAAUUACACGUUAUCCAAAUAUUGGCUGCUGCUGAGUCGAGGGCGGGGGGCGGCGGCUGACAGCCAGGCUGUGCCCCCUGGACGCGGGCAAUUAGCGCGACAGCCCCCUACAUUGGCUUAGAUGCGUCUUCUAUAGUGACACCCUCCCCCUAUGGCCAACAAGAAAGGCUGAUUGCCCCCCUGGGAGCCAGCGCCAGCUCUGCACGGGGAGUCUGGCAGCUCCUGCCCGAGGUCGGUGCCAAAGAAAGGGCCACCGCCGCGUCCCUGGGCGCUGCCGCCGCAGAUUGCAUGGCAGGCAGCAGAUUUCGUGGUGCCGGCCUGGCUGCAGCGUCGUCUGCAGCAGCAAAGCCCAACUGUCAGGGAAGAGGCUCCGGCGACGGGCGAGAGCCUCGGGCAACGUCCAGCAGCGGUGCGGGAAACAGAGACCUUGCACGCAUCCUGGAGCAAAGCCGGGAGCGCAAAAGUGGCUGCGGAGGCGAGAGAGCGCUUUUCUACUACUGUCCGGGGCUGAAUCCGGCUGGCGGAAUCCCCAAGGGAAUAGGAACUGCCUCUCAUGUCUACUACCAUUCUGUGGAUUUUAAUGGAAAAGGCAUGCAGAUGUUGGAAAAUACGAGGCUGAGAAGAUGGGUAGGUGGGCAAAGGGGCCCUUUUUACACCAAAGGACACCUGCUCCUGAGAAAGAGCUGGUUGUUCUGCUGAGAUGGAUCGGACUUGCGCACGGUUCAUGAGCCCAUGAGACACUUUCAGGGUUUUAAAGCCACCACUUAGCGCUUUAUCUCGUUUCACAGAUAGACAG
rnacentral:lncRNA from 1 species